CAGUAGCCGCGGUAACACGUAGGGUGCGAGCGUUAAUCGGUAUUACUGGGCGUAAAGCGUGCGCAGGCGGUUGUGUAAGACAGGUGUGAAAUCCCCGGGCUUAACCUGGGUACUGCGCUUGUGACUGCACAGCUAGAGUAUGGCAGAGGGGGUGGAAUUCCACGUGUAGCAGUGAAAUGCGUAGAGAUGUGGAGGAACACCGAUGGCGAAGGCAACCCCCCUGGGCCAAUACCGACGCUCAUGCACGAAAGCGUGGGGAGCAAACAGGAUUAGAUACCCCCGUAGUCCCUGUCUCUUAUAC
rnacentral:rRNA from 1 species